ensembl:lncRNA
AAAGGUAGUAAUAUAUUUAUUGCUUUAAAACAGUUUGCAAUAGUGUUAACAGUGUUUACAAUUAGUGUUCUCAUUUUUUUCAGUUGAUAAUGCUGAAUAAUUUCAUUUUUUCAACUAAGUGUGCAUACUGAAUGGUUCCCUAUUCCCUUUAGGAUUAGUGCAAUAUGUAGGGGAUAGGGGAAGCAAUAGGGUUCCAUUUGGAAUGCACACCAAAGCAUAGUGUUCAAUAGUUCAGAAUAAGAGCCGCACAAACUCUGAAAAGGCAAGCAAUCAUGCAAAAAAAUUGCAUUAUUAGUGUUUACAUAUUUAGUAGAUAGCAUAUAUUUGAUUUCAUUUGUAUAUUGAUGGAAAUGCUGAAUAUAGUCCAUACAACAGUGUUUUCCUAGCACUUGGCACACUUCUAGUUUAUACAACAUGCACAAGCCUCAAGGCAAUGCAAAGCCACAAGAGCUAUAACCAGACAUCAUGAUUCCUAACACUAAACUGUGACAACACAAGCUGAAGCAGUUGUAAUGCCACCAGUUUCAUUGAACAGUGUAAACAAAUGGAUUGACUCACCCUGCUAACAGAUCUAGCAUGGAGAAAAAACUGUAUUCCAAAAAAGACAGAAACUUUUAGAACAGUGAAAAAUAAAAUUCUUUACACUGAGGUGAGCAAUACACAAUUUUAUAUAUACUUCUUUUUAGUUCAGAGCAAGAAGAAAUGCCAAAUUGACAAAAUAAACAUAAAAUAUCAAUACAUAGCAUUACGUUAAUCUCCAACAGUCUUAAAAACAGAGUAUGAACGUUUCCCUAAUGGCAUCCUAUUCAUAGGAUGGAUGUCAUUUUGGGAGCCAGACUAAGUUUUUUAAAUCCAUGCAUUCUCAUCCCUCUAAAUUACUACCCUGAACGUUAUACCUUUAUGUCACAGUAGUACUCAAAGCUUUGUUGCUGGAGGCUCGGAGAUAACAAACGUUUCCAGAUCAGCCUGAGUGUCAGCGGGCAAAAUUGCUUGCUCCUUGUCACUAACAAUAGGCAAUGGAGUGCUUAAACAGAUCUGGGACCAGGUUAUGGUGAGAUGUCAGUGUUCACUUGAGGAGUUCGACACCAGCUCCCAGACAUUCCAGUGCCCUCUGUCAAUUGCCUGGGAAAUUUGAUACAACAUACACGGAAACCUGGAUCGAAAAGAAAGUACACCUGGAUCUACCUCAAACACUCUUGCUAGUUCUAGAACUAGCAGUCCAGUUAACCUUAGAACAGCAGUUCUCAAACACCAACAGUAACUCUGAGGCUGUAUAUAUAGUGCAUAUCUUCACAGUAACAAUUCCAAAUGCAGCUGUAGAACGUCUGAAUAAUGCCAGAAAUAAUUGUGUUGUAAGGAAGACAAAAACGUAACAUUUGUACAAUUAAGAGGUUUGGGGUCCACUCAAAAAGUUAACCAUAAUUCUAAUUCCUGUUUCUUUUUCAUGAAUUUAAAUGGAUAUGUCAGUGUGCUUCAACUUAAACUAACCCUAACCAGUACUAUUAUGGAGGACUACCUCCAUCCAUAUUUCACUGUUCAGAGGAUAACUACAGAUCCCAUGACGAACUGUACAUAACGUGUUCUGUUUUUGUUUUUAAACCAGAAAACUAUCUAGUGACAAGGCAUAAAACGACAGUCAAAAAUCUGUAAAAUGAAUGGAAGCUUAACAUUCUCAAGGCAAGCUCUAUUUUUUGUUUACACUGUCAACAGACAUGACUUCAGUAGUCAUAUUGUGACAUGAUUUGGUAUAAUGCUGCAGAACAUUCAGCAAAUUCAAUGGCCCACAAUAUCCGGAAUAUAACAUCUAAU